rnacentral:rRNA from 1 species
CAAUAGCGUAUAUUUAAGUUGUUGCAGUUAAAAGCUCGUAGUUGGAUUUCGGUUGAGAACGGCCGGUCCGCCGUUUGGUGUGCACUGGCUGGUCUCAACUUCCUGUAGAGGACGCGCUCUGGGUUAACGCUCGGACGCGGAGUCUACGUGGUUACUUUGAAAAAUUAGAGUGUUUAAAGCAGGCAUUUGCUAUGAAUACAUUAGCAUGGAAUAAUAAUCUAGGACUUCGGUUCUAUUUUGUUGGUUUCUAGAUCUGAAGUAAUGAUUGAUAGGGAUAGUUGGGGUGGCUAGUAUUAAGGGCCAUGGACGUGAAAUUCUUGGAUUCUCUUAAGACUAACUUAUGCGAAAGCAUUCACCAAGGAUGUCUUCUUUAAUCAAGAACGAAAGUUGGGGAUG